GACGAACGCUGGCGGCGUGCUUAACACAUGCAAGUCGAACGGAAAGGCCCUGCUUUUGUGGGGUGCUCGAGUGGCGAACGGGUGAGUAACACGUGAGUAACCUGCCCUUGACUUUGGGAUAACUUCAGGAAACUGGGGCUAAUACCGGAUAGGAGCUCCUGCUGCAUGGUGGGGGUUGGAAAGUUUCGGCGGUUGGGGAUGGACUCGCGGCUUAUCAGCUUGUUGGUGGGGUAGUGGCUUACCAAGGCUUUGACGGGUAGCCGGCCUGCGAGGGUGACCGGCCACAUUGGGACUGAGAUCCGGCACAGACUCCUACGGGAGGCAGCAGUGGGGAAUAUUGCACAAUGGGCGGAAGCCUGAUGCAGCAACGCCGCGUGCGGGAUGACGGCCUUCGGGUUGUAAACCGCUUUCGCCUGUGACGAAGCGUGAGUGACGGUAAUGGGUAAAGAAGCACCGGCUAACUACGUG
rnacentral:rRNA from 1 species